rnacentral:rRNA from 1 species
UACGUAGGGUGCGAGCGUUAAUCGGAAUUACUGGGCGUAAAGCGUGCGCAGGCGGUUUUGUAAGUCUGUCGUGAAAGCCCCGGGCUCAACCUGGGAAUGGCGAUGGAGACUGCAAGGCUCGAAUCUGGCAGAGGGGGGUAGAAUUCCACGUGUAGCAGUGAAAUGCGUAGAGAUGUGGAGGAACACCGAUGGCGAAGGCAGCCCCCUGGGUCAAGAUUGACGCUCAUGCACGAAAGCGUGGGGAGCAAACAGG